GAUGAACGCUGGCGGCGUGCCUAAUACAUGCAAGUCGAGCGAACGGACGAGAAGCUUGCUUCUCUGAUGUUAGCGGCGGACGGGUGAGUAACACGUGGAUAACCUACCUAUAAGACUGGGAUAACUUCGGGAAACCGGAGCUAAUACCGGAUAAUAUUUUGAACCGCAUGGUUCAAAAGUGAAAGACGGUCUUGCUGUCACUUAUAGAUGGAUCCGCGCUGCAUUAGCUAGUUGGUAAGGUAACGGCUUACCAAGGCAACGAUGCAUAGCCGACCUGAGAGGGUGAUCGGCCACACGGGAACUGAGACACGGUCCAGACUCCUACGGGAGGCAGCAGUAGGGAAUCUUCCGCGAUGGGCGAGAGGCUGACGGAGCAACGCCGCGUGAGUGAUGAAGGUCUUCGGAUCGUAAAACUCUGUUAGUAGGGAAGAACAUAUGUGUAAGUAACUGUGCACAUCUUGACGGUACCUAAUCAGAAAGCCACGGCUAACUACGUG
rnacentral:rRNA from 1 species